rnacentral:rRNA from 1 species
ACGGAAGGCAGCAGUGGGGAAUAUUGCACAAUGGGGGAAACCCUGAUGCAGCGACGCCGCGUGAAGGAAGAAGUAUCUCGGUAUGUAAACUUCUAUCAGCAGGGAAGAAAAUGACGGUACCUGACUAAGAAGCCCCGGCUAACUACGUGCCAGCAGCCGCGGUAAUACGUAGGGGGCAAGCGUUAUCCGGAUUUACUGGGUGUAAAGGGAGCGUAGACGGAAUUGCAAGUCUGAUGUGAAAGGCAUGGGCUCAACCCGUGGACUGCAUUGGAAACUGUGAUUCUUGAGUGCUGGAGGGGUAAGCGGAAUUCCUGGUGUAGCGGUGAAAUGCGUAGAUAUCAGGAGGAACACCGGUGGCGAAGGCGGCUUACUGGACGGCAACUGACGUUGAGGCUCGAAGGCGUGGGGAGCAAACAGGAUUAGAUACCCUGGUA